UAGCUGCGUCCAGUGAUGAGCCCAAUAGAAAAUAAGCCUGUCCUCUUUACAGAUCAAAAGAGAGUCCGGUCAAAUAAGGGACAACAUUUUCGAACAAACCAAACCUUAGCCACUCAAACAUCAACUACUUCUGUUAUCACUCUAAGAAAUUAGGGUAACACCGCUCCCUCCUUCCCUUCCCCCCCCCCCCCCCGCAAGUUGGAGGGGGAGGUACAAACACCGAAAUUUCCCAAUAGAUUCUAAUGAAGAGGACCUGUGAGAUGUUUAGUAAAGAGAUCCGCAAGCUGAGAAUCAGAUCGAACAAAGGAAAGAGAAUUAAGCGCAGCAAGAAAUUGUUGUCGCACAAAGUGAUAGUCGAUUUCGACAUGUUUGGUUCGUUCAUGGAAUAUAGGGUUUUUGGUGUUAUGAAGUGCAACUUUACUAUCGGAAUGAAGAGGAACAAGCAAAAAGAUUAAGGAUUGACAGAUCUUCAAAAGGGCGAACAAACAAAGUGAGUUCAGCUACAACUCGUCGCAUAAAACAGUAUUCCGCCUCCACAGAACUAAGUGAGAUGGAGGUUUUCUUCUUUUACUUCCAAGAAAUAGGAGAAGAACCCAGGUAGAUGCAAUUCUUUUUGUCCUUUGUUGUUCUUGAACCUUUUGAAAUUUGCUCCCUGAUUGUUAGCAUUAAAAGAAGCUAAAUCCCCGGGAUAAGCAGGUGUAGCAUGGAUUCCUCUUUGUUUCUCAUCUUGAAUGAUUAGAGAAUAAGCCUUUCCUAUAGAGGGUAAAGGGGAGGAUAGGAGUAUGUUUCUCCUUACACCAAUGAAUGUAUCAUUUUGACCCAUUAGAAAUUGCAGAAGCCUUUCAUCUUGUUGUGCUUUCUGUGACUUUGCCUUAAAUCUAGACUCAACACACUACAAAAAAUUUAGCUUACAACCACACUUAUUUUAGACUAUGCCCAAGAAGUGUUACCAAAAAUACUUAUGGGAACGCUUUCAAAUGGUGGUCUUUGAGUAGAGUCUUUGACUAUGGUUUUUAAGGCAAUACUUGAAAAACGUUGCUUUAAAAUGAAAAGACUACACUUUUUAAGGGCGGCUAAUAAAACGUUCCUUUAAAACGAAAAUACUACACUUUUUAAGGGUGGAUAAUAAUAAAAUAUAUGGAAACCUUUAUUAUAGAUUUUUAAGAGUGGUUUUAUCGGCAGAACUAAUGUUACCCUUUAGAAGCGUACCCUUAAAAUUUUCCCAAAAAUUUCCGAAAAAUUAAAAAGGCAAUAACAUCGAUACUCAUCUAUAUACCUCUUUCCAAAAGUACUGGAAAAAAUUAAUCCAUCCGCAAUUCGUUCCCCCCUCCCAUAGUUUCGUUUUACUCAGCUUUGCGUCGCUUAUGUUACCGAACCAACACCGCUAUUGUCCCCUGGGAUGACUGGUAUGGUGUGCUCUUUCUUUUGUUCGGCUGAUUGACUACUAUUUUCUCUCUUCCUCAUUCAUCUUUUUAAUUUUUUUCUUUUGGUUUGAUAUUAAUAUACCUGAACAGCUAAACUUUGCUCAGGAUCGACAAUCUUUUGUUGUUCAAGAUGAGCGGUUAAGAUCUCUUCUGGCGAUUACGCAGUCAUGACCAUGAGAGUUUUAUGAAAAAAUAAUUUUUUCAGUUCAGUUGUUAAGAGAGACUCACACUGACUCCUAAAGCCUUAGACGUCAAAGAAAUUAAUGAAUUUUUUGUUCUUGCUUAUGAUUCAGCGGGUAAUAAAUUAUGAUUAUAUUAUCUUUACCAAUACUGAUCUAGAAAUCACUAAUUUUCUUCUAACAUUGUAUCAUUAUUUGAUUAGAAAUAUUUCAUGUGUGCAUUUGUUAAUUAUGCUAAUUAAGCAUAGGGAAAAAUUAAUAUAGUCGUAAAUUCUUAUUAAGCUGUAGGGAUUAUCUAUGUUUAGCUUUGCUAUCUUCUGAAUGUUAAAAUUUACAUUUCAACACAUGCUUCAUUGUUACGAGAGGUCUUGUAUAUGGCAAACUUGGAUACAGAGCUAUUCAUGUUAGUAUUUUUGCAUUGAAUUCUAAUAAUAUUUGAUUCUUUUCUCUACCAAAAUUAGUCAACACUCGGGAAGAUCUGUGGUAUACUUGAAGUUAGGUUUGGCAUAAAAUGAGUGUCAUGACUAGGUAAGAGAUUUUUAUUCUCUUUAUUUUCUUAGUAUGCUCCUAUACAACACCCUAUUUUGGAAAGUUAUUCUUAAUUUUUACGAUCUAUUUGUUAAGUAUAGUUAUUGAUUAAAUGAAUAUCUAUUUUCAAAUCUAAUAUAACCAUUGAUUUUUAGGUUUUCAAAUGUUUUGUCCUAAGGCUGGAUGGAUCUACCAAGAAAUAGCAAAGAGUAUACUGAUGGUGUUCAAUAUUUCUUAGGGUUUGCUAAUUCAAAUGAUGAAUGUUUGUACAUGUUUCGCUAGAAAAGUCGUUCAGUCAAUUUCUUGAUUAACAACUAAAGAAACUCUAGAAACUACCACAACAAUAACAACAUACCCAGUAUUAUCCUACAUCAUGGGGUUUGGGGAAGGUAGUGUGUACUAGGGCUGUUCAAAACCGAACCGUAAUCGUUAACUGAACUGCAAAAUUGGCUUAUUGGUAUCGAGUUAUUGGGGUAGUGGUUGGUGAAUGGAUUUAGACCUUAUAAUUUAUAGCUUAACGGUUUGGGAGCGAAUUAUUCAAUUUUUUUUAUCGCAUAAACCGUUGACCUGUUAAGAAGUUUUAUAUUUAUAUUUUUACUCCUAGGUAUAUAAAGUAAUAUAUAAAGUAAUACUAAAUAAUAAAGUACUAUUGAAACAAAAUAUAAGCACUACUAUUUGAUCAGUGAUGAGUGUGAGUUGUGAACUUGUGAUUACUUCUUGGACUUAGAUUAUAUAAAUGUAAGUGCUACUCAUAGAACCCAUCAUGAUCUAGCAAAUUUAAGAACUACUCACAGAAAAUAAAUAUAAGCACUAAUGGAAAACUACUUACAAGCACCAAGCAUAUGUGAUGCUUUACUCCAAAUUUUCUCUUAUCUCUAGUUCUCUACUUAUUUUUUAUUGUCUAUUUGAUUUAACCAAUAAAUCAUCCGAUAACCGUCUGAUAAUCGCUAAUCUGAUACCAAUUCAUUUGAUAUUUUAUUGGAUGGCUAGCAGAUUACAAUAUUUAUAAAUCGAUAAUCGAUAAGCCAAACCGUUAAGCAUAAAUAUCCGCCCGAUAAGCACCCCUAGUGUGUACACAGACCUUACCUCUAUCUUGUGAUGAUAGAUGGGCUGUUUACAAUAGACUCUCUGCUCAGGAAAGCAUAAGCACCACGUUAAUAAAAAUAUAAAUAAGAAGGGACAUCAUCAAAAAUCCAUAUAAAAGCAGAAUAAAGAUAACAAGAUAGUAAGGUGAUCAACAACGAAAGAAAACAGCGGUUAGUCAUAAAAAUAUACUACUAACAGAAAGCGAGACUGCGUGCCAAUACCUCUCCCCACCUCUUCUUUGGACUUCCUCCACCUCUCCGUAUGCCCUCUAACGGGGCGUCUGUUCUCCUCCUCCUCACAUGGCUAAACCACCUAAGCUGCACUUCCCGCAUCUUGUCCUUAAUAGGGGCCAACCCAUCUUGUCGCGAAUAACCUUAUUUCUAAUCCUAUCUGACCUGGUGUGCCCUCCCUUCCAUCUCAACACCCUUAUCUCUUCUAUCUUCAUCUUCUGGACAUGAGUGAUCUUGACUGGCCAACACUCAACCCCAUAUAGCAUCGUCGGUCUGAACAACAUUCUAUAGAACUUACCUUUAAGUUUUGGUGGCACUUUCAUGUCACACAAAACACCAGAAGCGAGUCUCCAUUUCAUCUAUCCCGCCCCAAUACGAUGUGUGACAUUUUCAUCAAUAUCCCCACCCCCCUAAAAAAUAGACCCAAGGUACUUAAAACUUCCUUUCCUAAGAAUGACCUGUGAGUCCAGCCUCACCUCCCCUUUCCCUUCUUGAGUCUCACUAUUGAACUUACACUCCAAGUAUUCUAUCUUGGUCCUAUUCAACUUGAAACCUUUAUACUCGAGGGUCUGCUUCCAUACCUCUAGUUGUGCGUUCACACUGUCUCGCGUUUCGUCAAUCAAUACAAUAUUAUUUGCAAAUAGCAUGCACCACGGCACAUCCCCUUGGAUGUGGCACGUUAGUAUGUUCAUUGUUAGGGCAAAAAAAAGGGCUGAGUGCCAACCCCUGAUGCAACCCCAUCAUAACUAAAAAAUGGUCCGAGUCCCCACCCCACCCACCAUUUUUACUCGGAUCUUUACUCCAUCAUACAUGUCCUUAAUCAUCCUAAAGAAGGCAACAAGUACACCUCCAGCCUCCAAACAUCUCUACAAAACGUCCAUCGGAACUUUAUCGUACGCCUUUUUCUAAGUCGAUGAACACCAUAUGAAAGUCCUUCUCCCCCCUAUACUGCUCCAUCAAUCUCAUAACAAGGUGAAUGACUUUUAUAAUCGAAUGCCCCAGCAUAAAUCUGAAUUGAUUCUCGUAAAUAGGCAUAUCCCUCCUUACCCUUAGCUCUACCACUCUCUCCCAGACUUUUAUAGUAUGGCUAAGCAGCUUGAUACCCCGAUUGGUAUUGCAAUUUUGGAUAUCACCCUUGUUCUUGUAUGUAGAAACCAUUGCUCCAUAUCCACUCUUCGGGCAUUUUCUUCAUUCUAAAAAUGACAUUUAAUAACCUAGUGAGCCAGUCCAAGCUUGCCUUGCCCGCACUCUUCCAAAAUACUACUGGGAUUUCAUCUGGCUCGGUCACUUUUCCCCUACUCAUAUUACACAUAGCCCCCCUCCACUUUAUCAACUCUAAUCUUCCUACAAUACCCAAAGUCAUAACGACUCCCAGAGAGUUCCAAAUCAUCCAGUACAAUACUCAUGUUCCCCUCCUCGUUCAAGAGACUAUGGAAGUAGGUUUUCCAUCUCCAAUGGAUAAGCCCCUCAUCCAACAAAACUCUACCUUCUUCGUCCUUGAUGUACUUUACUUGGUCUAAGUCACGAGAAUUCCUUUCUCGCACCUUGUCUAACCUGAAUAACCUCUUAUCCCCACCUCGGCCCUAGAGUUCCUCAUACAAAUAACUAAAAGUUGCAGUCUUGGCUACCGUAACUGCUAUCGUUGCCUCUCUCUUAGCCAACUUAUAUUGCUGCCUAUUCGUCCUCUUCUCCUCAUCGUCUACACUUUUCACUAGCUUCAGAUACGUUGCUUUCUUGGUUUUCACUUUUCCUUGCACCUCUCCAUUCCACCACCAAUCUCCUUUGUGACCACCAAAGUAACCCUUUGAGACCCCUAGUACCUUUCUCGCAGCUUCUCUAAUGCACUGUGCAGUCGUGGUUCACAAAGCGCUUGCAUCCCCACUACUCUGGGAUAUAUUAAAUAAAGAUUCAACAUAAAGAUGCAAACAUGUAGAUAACAAUCUAAACAAGUAGGCAACAAAGCUAUCACUAGUUGUCACACCCCUUUAUUACAACCUCACUAAACCCUCUUAAAAUAAUAAAAGUGAUUUUGAAGCUCAAAAAGGGUUUCAAUUAUGAAAAGUGACAAAAUUGUGUUCAAAUGUUUUUUUCAGAGUCGCCACCUGACAUUGGUUUCGACGUGCCAGGUCACCAUUUUAAAAAAAUGACUUUUCCUUUUAAAACACUUUGGACUCCAAAACUAAGUCUGCACCGGAGAUUUGGGUAAGGGGAUUCAUUUGACUCAGGGAGAAGGUGUUAGGCACUCCCCAAGCCCCGUAAAAUUCAUGGUUGCGUACAUGAUCUAGUUGGCUUUUAAAAAAAUUCAAAUUGAGGUAAAAUCAUAUAAAAGGAAAAUAAACACAAAAGAGGCUCGAGAUCGUCCCCACCUAAAUGAAAGAAAAUUAAAAGAAGGAAAAUUAAAAUUAAAGUUCUAAAUUAUCUUACGCUACUUAUUCUACGAUGUUCGCCAUGACCUCCAAUUACAGAAUACUACGGGGCAUUCCCCAGAAUAAAAUAUGUAUAAAUCCUUCGGGGCAUUCCCCGGAUAAAUUUUACUCAAGGAACGACCUCUCGCCUCAAAACUAACAAAAAUCCUAAAUUUUGCCUACCCAGGUGAUGACGGCCUAAACAUACUUCUAGAGGGAAAAGUAAUAUAAGUAAAAAUAAAUACAAACUAAAAAGAAAUAAAAUUUGAUUCCAUGCUCUCUCCCUUUUUUUUCAUUAUUUUAUGUAUUUAGACCAAAUCCGAUCCUAAAGCAUAUAAAAAUAUUUAAUUAUCUGAUGGAUUGGACUUCCUCAUCCCCACGAUCCCACUCAAACAAUUCAUUUUGUACACCAAAGCAAUUAAAAAAACGAAAACACGGACAAGCAUGCAUUCAAAUCACUUAGAAGAAAAUGGGUGCUAAGAAAGAAAAUAAAAUGACAGUAGUACUUGAAGAUACCAUGAAAGCUAUUAAAGAUUCCACACCCUCCCCAAUUGGCUCAUUAACCUCCUAACCUUCAUCAUGUCAAAUAUCCUACUCUAAACCCAAAAUUAGACUAGUUCAUCCCUAAAGUCAAUAUAAUGACCAAGCUAGGUAUCCCCAUCCAAGAAGACAUUUUAUAGAUAGCCAAAAUUCAGAUUAACACGAGGAUCUCGCCUAAGCUUUUAAUCAAAUUUAGCCACUUAAAACCUGUUAAAAAAAGUUACAUAAACUAAAUGAUAAUCUAGUCCUCCUUAAUGAAACAGAGAAAAUUUUAAUAAAGAACUAAAAUAAUAGGUAAUCGAACAAAGAUUCAAUAGGUGGCAUCAAGAGAAACAAAUCUGAAAAUUAGAUAACAAAUAGAGUUAGAGUCGGACCUUGAUAUAGCUGAAAAUUAAUUAUUUCACUGCUUUGAACUCAAAAAUGUAAAGAACUGCGAGCCAAAACUCAAAUCGGCACCGAAAAGCUUGAAACCAAAACGACCUCAAUCAAACUCCGUCGGAUUCCAAAUCGAAAAUCAGAAGCAGAAGUCCGUUUUUUUACUCUCUCUCUCUGUUCUCCUCCCUCUCGUCACUCUUUUUCUGUCCGUUCCCUAUCUAUGCGUGUGGGGGGGGGGGGGCUGUUGGUGGUUAGUUUAAGUAUUUGGGAGGUAGUUUUAAUGGAGUUAUUGGCUGUGACAUUGGAUCUAUGGAAAUUGAGGGAAGAAAUAUUUAGAGUAGUUUCUGUGUUUAAAAAUGGAAAAUGACUAGCGAAGAAGAUGAACAUGAAUUCUUUUGUGUGGGAGCUUGUGUAAGCACGUGAUUUUUGCUUCACGGACAAGCACUCCAAAAGAAAACAAAAAUAGUGACCAGUGACCUCGCUGUACAAAUUUUCCAAUUUUUCAUGACAUGUACUGCUAGUCAUUUGUGGUUCAUCCCAUUUUUUUUGCAUUUUUUGAUCUUAUCAGUCAAAACACAAGGUAUGUCUAUCAUAGUAAUCAAACCGUAAUUCAGUAGUUAAAAGAAAAUUCAAAAAUAUAUGUGCAUUGUUCGUUCUAGGUUGUGAUUUAACUUACUUGAACAUUUUAAUUUGGUGUGAUAAUGGUGUUGAAGUGUUACAUUGUUGUUUGUUUUAAUUUCAUUUGUUAUUUUUCAUUUUUUGUUUUAAAAUUAGAAAAAACAAAAA
rnacentral:lncRNA from 1 species